GACGAACGCUGGCGGCGUGCUUAACACAUGCAAGUCGAACGGUAAGGCCCUUCAGGGUACACGAGUGGCGAACGGGUGAGUAACACGUGGGUGAUCUGCCCUGCACUUCGGGAUAAGCCUGGUAAACUGGGUCUAAUACCGGAUAGGACCACUGCCUGCAUGGGUGGUGGUGGAAAGCUUUUGCGGUGUGGGAUGGGCCCGCGGCCUAUCAGCUUGUUGGUGGGGUGAUGGCCUACCAAGGCGACGACGGGUAGCCGGCCUGAGAGGGUGACCGGCCACACUGGGACUGAGAUACGGCCCAGACUCCUACGGGAGGCAGCAGUGGGGAAUAUUGCACAAUGGGCGCAAGCCUGAUGCAGCGACGCCGCGUGAGGGAUGACGGCCUUCGGGUUGUAAACCUCUUUCAGCACCGACGAAGCGCAAGUGACGGUAGGUGCAGAAGAAGGACCGGCCAACUACGUGCCAGCCGCCGCGGUAA
rnacentral:rRNA from 1 species